ensembl:snoRNA
UUCCAAUGAUGAGCUUGCCAUGCUAAUACUGAUGCUCCAGAGUUGGACGGUGUCACUGUGGGUGUGAGUGGGUUCAACUGAACUUCUCACAGUUGCAGUGUGCUCUAAGGAAA